UACGGGGGGGGCAAGCGUUGUUCGGAAUUACUGGGCGUAAAGGGCUCGUAGGCGGCCAACUAAGUCAGACGUGAAAUCCCCAGGCUCAACCUGGGAACUGCGUCUGAUACUGGAUGGCUUGAAUUCGGGAGAGGGAUGCAGGAAUUCCAGGUGUAGCGGUGAAAUGCGUAGAUAUCUGGAGGAACACCGGUGGCGAAGGCGGCAUCCUGGACCGGUAUUGACACUGAGGCGCGAAAGCCAGGGGAGCAAACGGG
rnacentral:rRNA from 1 species